rnacentral:rRNA from 1 species
UGGGGAAUAUUGCACAAUGGGGGAAACCCUGAUGCAGCAACGCCGCGUGAGUGAUGAAGGUUUUCGGAUCGUAAAACUCUGUCUUUGGGGACGAUAAUGACGGUACCCAAGGAGGAAGCCACGGCUAACUACGUGCCAGCAGCCGCGGUAAUACGUAGGUGGCAAGCGUUGUCCGGAUUUACUGGGCGUAAAGGGAGCGUAGGUGGAUUUUUAAGUGAGAUGUGAAAUGCUCGGGCUCAACCUGAGAACUGCAUUUCAAACUGGAAAUCUAGAGUGCAGGAGAGGAAAGUGGAAUUCCUAGUGUAGCGGUGAAAUGCGUAGAUAUUAGGAAGAACACCAGUGGCGAAGGCGACUUUCUGGACUGUAACUGACACUGAGGCUCGAAAGCGUGGGGAGCAAACAGG